CAAAGGUGCAAGCUCUGGGUAGUGCUUAUCUCAAGCAGCUCCUGGAAGCAGUGGCAUGUCUCCUCUCCAGAUCCUACAUGGAGGCACGGCCAGGAGCCUCUGAAGCGCCAGAGGAGG